rnacentral:rRNA from 1 species
ACGAACGCUGGCGGCAUGCCUAAUACAUGCAAGUCGAGCGAAUGAUGAAGAAGCUUGCUUCUUCUGAUUUAGCGGCGGACGGGUGAGUAACACGUGGGCAACCUGCCCUGUAGAUUGGGAUAACUCCGGGAAACCGGGGCUAAUACCGAAUAAUCCAUUUCCUCUCAUGGGGAAAUGUUAAAAGACGGUCUCGGCUGUCACUACAGGAUGGGCCCGCGGCGCAUUAGCUAGUUGGUGAGGUAACGGCUCACCAAGGCGACGAUGCGUAGCCGACCUGAGAGGGUGAUCGGCCACACUGGGACUGAGACACGGCCCAGACUCCUACGGGAGGCAGCAGUAGGGAAUCUUCCACAAUGGACGAAAGUCUGAUGGAGCAAUGCCGCGUGAGUGAAGAAGGUUUUCGGAUCGUAAAACUCUGUUGUGAGGGAAGAAUAAGUACGAGAGUAACUGCUCGUACCUUGACGGUACCUCAUUAGAAAGCCACGGCUAACUACGUG